rnacentral:rRNA from 1 species
UGCCAGCAGCCGCGGUAAUAUGGACGGAGCGUGCGUUAAUCGAAAUUACUGGGCGUAAAGCGCGCGUAGGCGGCUUUGUAAGUCGGAUGUGAAAGCCCUGGGCUUAACCUGGGAAUGGCAUUCGAUACUGCAGAGCUAGAGUAUGGUAGAGGGAAGUGGAAUUUCCGGUGUAGCGGUGAAAUGCGUAGAUAUCGGAAGGAACAUCAGUGGCGAAGGCGACACUCUGGGUUGAUACUGACGCUGAGGUGCGAAGGCGUGGGGAGCAAACAGGAUUAGAUA